rnacentral:misc_RNA from 1 species
UCCGGUUUGUCACCGGCAGUCCCAUUAGAGUGCUCAACUGAAUGUAGCAACUAAUGGCAAGGGUUGCGCUCGUUGCGGGACUUAACCCAACAUCUCACGACACGAGCUGACGACAGCCAUGCAGCACCUGUGUCCGGGUUCCCUUUCGGGCACACCCCCAUCUCUGGAGGCUUCCUGGCAUGUCAAGCCCUGGUAAGGUUCUUCGCGUUGCAUCGAAUUAAGCCACAUGCUCCACCGCUUGUGCGGGCCCCCGCCAAUUCCUUUGAGUUUUAAUCUUGCGACCGUACUCCCCAGGCGGUCAACUUCACGCGUUAGCUUCGUUACCAAGGGAAUCAAUCCCCCGACAACCAGUUGACAUAGUUUAGGGCGUGGACUAC